CGGGGCGCACCAGGCGCGAAACCUCUGCAAUAGGCGAAAGCCUGACAGGGUUACUCUGAGUGAUUCCCGCUAAGGGGAUCUUUUGGCACCUCUAAAAAUGGUGCAGAAUAAGGGGUGGGCAAGUCUGGUGUCAGCCGCCGCGGUAAUACCAGCACCCCGAGUGGUCGGGACGAUUAUUGGGCCUAAAGCAUCCGUAGCCGGUCAUGCAAGUCCUCCGUUAAAUCCACCUGCUUAACAGAUGGGCUGCGGAGGAUACUACAAGGCUAGGAGGCGGAAGAGGCAAGCGGUACUCAGUGGGUAGGGGUAAAAUCCUCUGAUCCAUUGAAGACCACCAGUGGCGAAGGCGGCUUGCCAAUACGCGCUCGACGGUGAGGGAUGCAAGCUGGGGGAGCAAACCGGAUUAGAUACCCGGGUAGUCCCAGCUGUAAACGAUGCAGACUCGGUGAUGGGCCGGCUUUAUGCCGGCUCAGUGCCGCAGGGAAGCCGUUAAGUCUGCCGCCUGGGGAGUACGGUCGCAAGACUGAAACUUAAAGGAAUUGGCGGGGGAGCAC
rnacentral:rRNA from 1 species